UGUGUCUAGCACAACGAAAGCCCUACCUCUCUUUCGUCCUUACGGCUCCGAAGCCGUGCCAGUAUGAACCAGACUUGUGCAUCGCUU
rnacentral:sRNA from 1 species